rnacentral:lncRNA from 1 species
GGAGGAGAAGCGUAAAGAUAGGGGUGGUGUGGUGCUGGAGACUUGUAGACUGGAGUUGGUGGUGGAGGUGACUUGUAAACAGGAGUUGGUGGUGGUGGAGACAUAUAAACUGGUGCAGGAUGGUAUGGUGUUGGUGAAGGAUGGUAUGGCUUCACUGGUGGCGGUGGUGACUUGUAAACUGGUGCAGGAUGAUACGGUGUUGGUGAAGGGUGGUAUGGCUUCUUGGGUGGUGGUGGUGACUUGUAAACGGGAGCUGGUGGUGGUGGCGACUUGUAAACUGGUGUGUGUGGAGGGUAGUAUGGCUUCUUGGGUGGUGGUGGUGACUUGUAAACUGGAGUUGGUGGUGGUGGUGACUUGUAAACCGGGGUGUGUGGAGGGUAGUAUGGCUUCUUGGGUGGUGGUGGCGACUUGUAAACUGGAGUUGGUGGUGGUGGAGACUUAUAAACCGGGGUGUGUGGAGGGUAGUAUGGCUUCUUGGGUGGUGGUGGCGACUUGUAAACUGGAGUCGGUGGUGGUGGAGAUUUGUAAACAGGGGUGUGUGGAGGGUAGUAUGGUUUCUUGGGUGGCGGCGGUGACUUGUAAACCGGAGUUGGUGGUGGUGGCGACUUGUAAACUGGGGUGUGUGGAGGGUAGGAUGGCUUCUUGGGUGGUGGUGGUGACUUGUAAACGGGAGUUGGUGGUGGUGGC